AUUGAACGCUGGCGGCAGGCUUAACACAUGCAAGUCGAGCGAGCGGCGGACGGGUGAGUAAUGUCUGGGAAACUGCCUGAUGGAGGGGGAUAACUACUGGAAACGGUAGCUAAUACCGCAUACCAUCAGAUGUGCCCAGAUGGGAUUAGCUCGUAGGUGGGGUAAUGGCGCACCUCGGCGACGAUCCCUAGCUGGUCAGAGAGGAAGACCGUCUACACGGGAACUGAGACACGGUCCUGACUCGUAAGGGAGGCAGCAGUGGGGAAUAGUGCACAAUUGGCGCAAGCCUGAUACAGCCAUGCCGCGUGUGUUAAGAAGGCCUUCGGGUUGUAAAGCACUUUCAGCGAGGAGGCGUUACUCGCAGAAGAAGCACCGGCUAACUCCGUGCCAGCAGCCGCGGUAAUAC
rnacentral:rRNA from 1 species